CCUACGGGGGGCAGCAGUGAGGAAUAUUGGUCAAUGGACGAGAGUCUGAACCAGCCAAGUCGCGUGAAGGAUGACUGCCCUAUGGGUUGUAAACUUCUUUUAUAUGGGAAUAAAAUGUUCCACGUGUGGGCUUUUGUAUGUACCAUAUGAAUAAGGAUCGGCUAACUCCGUGCCAGCAGCCGCGGUAAUACGGAGGAUCCGAGCGUUAUCCGGAUUUAUUGGGUUUAAAGGGUGCGUAGGUGGAUUGUUAAGUCAGUUGUGAAAGUUUGCGGCUCAACCGUGAAAUAGCAGUUGAAACUGGCAGUCUUGAGUACAGUAGAGGUAGGCGGAAUUCGUGGUGUAGCGGUGAAAUGCUUAGAUAUCACGAAGAACUCCGAUUGCGAAGGCAGCUCACUGGACUGCAACUGACACUGAGGCUCGAAAGUGUGGGUAUCAAACAGGAUUAGAUACCCGUGUAGUC
rnacentral:rRNA from 1 species